UGAGGAAUAUUGGUCAAUGGGCGAGAGCCUGAACCAGCCAAGUCGCGUGAGGGAGUACUGCCCUAUGGGGUUGUAAACCUCUUUUGUCCGGGGAGCAAAAGCCGGACGUGUCCGUCUGUGAGAGUACCCGAAGAAAAGCAUCGGCUAACUCCGUGCC
rnacentral:rRNA from 1 species